UUCCGGUCCCCUCGCAACGAUAUGCUGUAAACCCCGCCAGGCCCGGAAGGGAGCAACGGUAGCAGCGGCCUCGUGUGCCGGGGUGUGGCUGGUUUGG
rnacentral:SRP_RNA from 1 species